rnacentral:lncRNA from 1 species
AGGUUGUGAGGUAUGGAUAAACUAAGUCAGGAAAGGAAACGAUAUAUAUAUCUGUGUAGAGUCCAAGGUGUGGCAAGAGUUCUUUGUCACUGGGAGCCAGCAUUAAUGUUUCAGUUAAUCACCCUAAUUGGCACUGGAAAUGUUUUGUCCCUUGCCUGGGGGCAUCCUUUGUUCAGUCAAGUCCUCAUUGUGUUGGUUCCCAUCUACUGUUUUGAUUUUGGAGUUUUGUAAUACUGGUAGCCAGAUUUUGUUCAUUUUCAUGGUUUCUUCCUUUCUGUUGAAGUUGUCCACAUGCUUGUGGAUUUCAAUGGCUUCUCUGUGUAGUCUGACAUGAUAGUUGUUAGAAUGGUCCAGCAUUUUUGUGUUCUCAAAUAGUAUUCUGUGUCCAGGCUGGUUCAUCAAAUGCUCUGCUAUGGCUGAUUUCUCUGGUUGAAUUAGUCUGCAGUGCCUUUCAUGUUCUUUGACUCUUGUUUGGGCGCUGCGUUUGGUGGUCCCUAUGUAGACUUGUCCACAGCUGCAUGGUAUCCGGUAGACUCCUGCAGAAGAGAGAGGAUCCCUCUUGUCCUUCGCUGACCGUAGCAUUUGUUGGAUUUUCUUCGUGGGUCUGUAGAUAGUUUGUAGGUUGUGCUUCUUCAUCAGCUUCCCUAUGCGGUCAGUAGUUCCCUUGAUGUAUGGUAAGAACACCUUUCCUCUGGGUGGAUCUUUGUCUUGACUCUCAUGGCUUGUUCUUGGCCUUGCAGCUCUUCUGAUGUCUGUGGUGGAGUAUCCAUUGGCCUGUAGAGCCCAGUUUAGGUGGUUGAGUUCACCUUGGAGGAGGUGAGGUUCGCAGAUUCUUUGUGGCUUUGAUUGUGCUCCUUUUUUGACUUGGGUGAUGGUUGGAGUUUUUAUGAAGGUAUCUAUCUGUGUGUGUAGGUUUUCUGUAAACUGUGUGGCCCAAUUGUUGAUUGGGUUUGCGGAUGACCAGAACAUCUAGAAAUGGCAGUUUUCCUUCCUUUUCUUUUUCCAUGGUGAAUUGGAUGUUUGGGUGGAUGCUGUUAAGAUGGUCCAGGAACUUGCUGAGUUCUUCCUCUCCAUGGCUCCAAAUUGUGAAGGUGUCAUCUACGUAUCUGAACCAAACAGACAAGCAUGUGGACAACUUCAACAGAAAGGAAGAAACCAUGAAAAUGAACAAAAUCUGGCUACCAGUAUUACAAAACUCCAAAAUCAAAACAGUAGAUGGGAACCAACACAAUGAGGACUUGACUGAACAAAGGAUGCCCCCAGGCAAGGGACAAAACAUUUCCAGUGCCAAUUAG